rnacentral:rRNA from 1 species
UACGGGGGGGGCAAGCGUUGUUCGGAAUUACUGGGCGUAAAGGGCUCGUAGGCGGCCAACUAAGUCCGACGUGAAAUCCCCAGGCUUAACCUGGGAACUGCGUCGGAUACUGGUUGGCUUGAAUCCGGGAGAGGGAUGCGGAAUUCCAGGUGUAGCGGUGAAAUGCGUAGAUAUCUGGAGGAACACCGGUGGCGAAGGCGGCAUCCUGGACCGGCAUUGACGCUGAGGAGCGAAAGCCAGGGGAGCAAACGGG